rnacentral:misc_RNA from 1 species
AACUUUUGGCAACGGAUCACUUGGUUCUCGCAUCGAUGAAGAACGUAGCGAAUUGCGAUAAGUAAUGUGAAUUGCAGAUACUCGUGAAUCAUUGAAUUUUUGAACGCACAUUGCGCUCUCAGGUAUUCCUGGGAGCAUGCCUGUUUGAGCGUCAUUUCCUUCUCAAAAGAUUUUAUUUUUUGGUAGUGAGCGAUACUCAGGGUUAGCUUGAAAUUGAAGAUUUUCUAAUCUUUGAUAAUUCAACACUUAGCUUCUUUGGAGACGCUGUUCUCGCUGUGAUGUAUUUAUGGAUUCGUCUAUUAUUACAUUUGCAAGGGAUUCGGUAAAGUACCUUAGGCAAAGAGUUGCUUUUAAUACUCAUCAAGUUUGACCUCAAAUCAGGUAGGAUUACCCGCUGAACUUAAGCAUAUCAAUAAGCGGAGGCU